GAUGAAGAACGUAGUGAGAUGCGAUACGUAAUGUGAAUUGCAGAAUUCAGUGAAUCAUCGAAUCUUUGAACGCACAUUGCACUCCUUGGUAUUCCGAGGAGUAUGCCUGUUUCAGUAUCAUGAGCACUCUCACAUCUAACCUUUGGGUUAAAAUGUGGAAUUGGGAUGCGCCGGUUAUUAUAACGGCCCUCCUAAAAUUCAGUUCUUGGCUGCUUCCUACUACAGCAGUUUGGCCUAAUAGUUUUGAGUCUUCGAUUCAAAUCUUUGGCUAACAUUUGCUUCAGGAUGUCAGUCUUGAUAUACAGAAAUCUCAUUCAAACUUUGAUCUGAAAUCAGGUAGGGCUACCCGCUGAACUUAAGCAUAUCAAUAAGCGGAGGA
rnacentral:misc_RNA from 1 species